AACAAAAAUGUUUCUUGCCAAAUUUCUACUGGAAUUAGCAGCUGUGUAUGUAAGCUUAAGCUCUUGUAUGGCACAUAACGAUAACACAGGAGAUACUACAGAUACUGAGAUAUCUCCCAACAAGGGUUUGUGUGGACGAAUCCUUCCUCGGCCAAUAGCUACAAGUGGCAACAUUGCGACGUUCAAGUUCAAAAGCAUGGUAGUCAGUACCAGUACUGGCUUUAAGUUGACCGCCACGGUCCAGAGAAAACCAGAUUCCAAGAUUUGUUCAGAAAACGAGUUUCAAUGUCUUGAUGAUAUCUGCAUUGACAAAAAGCUAAAAUGUGACCAGGAAGUCAACUGUCAAGAUAAUUCGGACGAGUCUGCACAAUAUGCUGGUUGUGAAGGUCAUACUCGCCAAAUGGACGGAUCUAAGUACUUUCGCUAGAGUUGGAAUCAUUGUGGGAACAGCUGUUGGAAUGGGCUUAAUUCUAUGUUUAUGUGUAACAGCUUCUUUUUAUUUCUCCCAACAAAACGAUAUAAAAGACUAAAAGAUUAAAUUCAGCUACU
rnacentral:misc_RNA from 1 species